CCUACGGGUGGCAGCAGUGAGGGAUAUUGGUCAAUGGACGAGAGUCUGAUCCAGCCAAGUCGCGUGAAGGAUGACUGACCUCUGGGUUUUAAGCUUCUUUUGUAAGGAAAUAAAACGAAGCACCUGUUCCUUUUUGCAUGUACUUUAUGAUUAAGGAUCGGCUAACAACGUGCCAGCAGCCGCGGUAAUACGGAGGGUCCGAGCGUUAUCCGGAUUUAUUGGGUUUAAAGGGAGCGUAGAUGGGUUGUUAAGUCAGUUGUGAAAGUUUGCGUCUCAACCGUAAAAUUGCAAUUGAUACUGGCAGACUUGAGUACAGUUGAGGUAGGCGGAAUUCGUGGUGUAGCGGUGAAAUGCUUAGAUAUCAAGAAGAACCCCGAUUGCGAAGGCAGCUUACUAAACUGUGACUGACAUUGAUGCUCGAAAGUGUGGGUAGCAAACAGGAUUAGAUACCCGUGUAGUC
rnacentral:rRNA from 1 species